AAGCCACAAAGUAUCUUAGAUCUAAUCCUUAUUCCUUCCUUUUCUCUUUAAGAAAUAUUGUCCUCUUCAGAUGCUUUGGACAUCGUCAGACAUUGACGGGAGAACUAUCACUAUACCACUUUUACCAGCUGGAGUUCAAAGUAGAAGAUGGCGGCCAGCACAGUAGAUAUUCAUGCCACUUUUGUGUGUGGUUGAGCAUGUUGGGCUCUUGUUGUGUACUUUUUUCAUGAUGCGAAUGCUGGAGGGGAAGCUGUCUAUCUGCUUAACAGUCUAUGAAGAAAAAACAUUCUGGCCUAGUCGACUCAGACAGCAAAAUGGCAUCCAGACGAAGACGUUAGUUUACUGCUGCUCAAGCCAUAAAUCUUUGUUGGAUGAAGAGGCGUCUGACAGUGACAACGACCAUGAGCUGAGGGGUUUUUAACACAAGACUCGGAACGCCAAGGGUUUUUUUUAAAACUCAAGACUCAGAUAUAAGUUUAGUUCAGAAUCUGGGGAUUCAUGUUAAAAAGAAACGUAGAAUGUAAAUAAUAUUUUUGUUGGUAUAUUUCUUAUUUUGUUGACUCUGGGUGACAGAGUUAUAUCUGCACACAGCCUGCGAUACCCUUUGCGGCAACAUACCUUGUAAUCCUUCAUUGAGAUUCGGUAUAGUUGAGGUUAUUUUGAUAAGAUGUCUAGAUCUAAUAUAGCAUUGUUUUUAUCAGUUCCGGAGCCUUUUCCUACUCAUUUUAAAUCUCAUUUUACAGAUAAAAAUUUGAAAUUGCUAUUUUCUCCUGAAGAAGGGUGGGGGGUGGGGGGUGAAUGAUAUAAAUCAUAUUGCUACAUUUCUUGAUGUAGUCUACAAUUUAAAAAUUCAAAUAUUUCAAACAAUAAGAUUCUAUUUAAUUUGGUAAAAAUUUGCUUGUUUAAACAUUCCUGCUGGUUUGUUGAUAAAGGUGUGCUUUGAACUUGUUAGUGCGGUACAAUAAAAGUUCAUUCAAAGAAGUA